GCCAUUUUUCCAAUACUGUGUGCACAUUUUCAGAUUCAAAAUUAUCUGUAUCACUACAGUCUCUUAGUCUGUAAGAGUAGUCUAUGAACAUCUAAUGAAGGCAAGAUUUUACCCACUUGUUGAUGUGUUGGUCCCAGCAAGAAUGCAUGAACCUUGGUGUACUUUGCUAUAUCAUGUGGAAGAGCUAGCAACUAUAUUCAACAUUACAGAUGUGCUAAUAUUAUAGUGAUGGUAACUGGAUCCUGG
rnacentral:lncRNA from 1 species